rnacentral:lncRNA from 1 species
GUAGAUAACUGUUAAAUGAGUGAAGAUUAUUCCCUUUCUCAUAAUGUUUUGCAUAACUGGCGUUAUCUUUUUUUUUUUCCGGAAGUGGUACAGGACUCUCUCCAAUGGCACAUGCAAACCUGAGUUCAUCUGUAGGGGAAGAUGCUUUCAAGAUAACUCGGGGAAAGGAAGAGCCAUCACAUGGACAGUGCCAGGCAGCUCAAGUCAGGAAGGAGCUCCAGCUCAGACGGUGAGCAGAUGCCGGAUGCCAUCGAUGCCCAGGGACAGACUGGAACGCGUCUCUGCCUCUGUCCAAGCCAUCUCUAACCACAGGAGAAGGCUGUGCCUCCCCCACACUGACCCAGCUAUCAGGCUGAGAGUCCUUUGUGGAAUAUGCACUGUCGCUCCCUAUGGAGAACAAAAGGCUAUCUCGAGCUGGAAACGAUCAGCAGAGGUGAAAUGUGGCCGACGUGUGACUGGACUUCAAGAAGAAAGGCUGGGACUGAGGAUCGGCUGUAACUUUGUCCCUGGGCUCCCCAGCUGGUUCUUUCACAGUAGAGUCCCCAGUUAAUUCAAGACUGCCCCCCACCCCC